GUUUGGGUUAUAUGGGUUCACCGUUCUCCCCAUUUUCGACUGAUCGCAAAGUGCUGUAGUUGAGGCGCGGUUCUUUGUCUCAGAGAUUUCAUUGCAAAGUCAUGUCAUUGCUUAAACAGGAUGAUCUCUCAUCCGACUCCGAGCUGGCAUCCCAUGUUUUCCAAGACAUUCUUGAUUCAGUCAUCAUUGAUGUCGCAUCGGAGUCGCAUCGAAUUGCAAAGCUAGGACUUGACCGUAAUUUGGAUGAAGAAGAGGAGGAGCUGAGGCUGUCGGCAGAAGCGAGAGCAAGGGCAUCCGAUCCAGGCCACAACAGUGAAGCCAAUGGAAAAUAUGUGCUCGACAUAUUCGGGCAGACUCACCCCGCCAUCGCAAGCGAAAUAUUCGAGUGCAUGAACUGCGGCAGGUCUGUAAUGGCAGGCCGAUUUGCCCCUCACUUGGAGAAGUGCAUGGGCAAGGGUAGAAAAGCUCGUCCCAAGGCCACAAGAAGCACCACCGCUGCACAGAAUCGGCACGCCCGUGGGAGCCCUGUUUCCACCCAACCCCCUAACUCUAAUUCCCAUCUAUCAAAUGGAAGCGCUUCUGCCGCAUCAGCAGAUACACAUCCUAACGGCACAUCAGAUGAACCAUGAUGUGAUGAUGAUGCCAGAACCAUCCAAACGGAAGCCUAUUUUUAGCAUGGAGAUGAUGCAUUUAUAUAGUGAAGAGAAAUACAUACGGUGUUAUGGCUGCAUGAUUUUUCGAAGAAAGCAUACCUUUGUGAAUUGAAUGCCAAUGUUUAUUAGGGUUCGUGAGAAAUGAAUUUUG